GAGCGAACGGACGAGAAGCUUGCUUCUCUGAUGUUAGCGGCGGACGGGUGAGUAACACGUGGAUAACCUACCUAUAAGACUGGGAUAACUUCGGGAAACCGGAGCUAAUACCGGAUAAUAUUUUGAACCGCAUGGUUCAAAAGUGAAAGACGGUCUUGCUGUCACUUAUAGAUGGAUCCGCGCUGCAUUAGCUAGUUGGUAAGGUAACGGCUUACCAAGGCAACGAUGCAUAGCCGACCUGAGAGGGUGAUCGGCCACACUGGAACUGAGACACGGUCCAGACUCCUAC
rnacentral:rRNA from 1 species